rnacentral:rRNA from 1 species
AUUGAACGCUGGCGGCAGGCCUAACACAUGCAAGUCGAACGAGUGGCGGACGGGUGAGUAAUGUCUGGGAAACUGCCUGAUGGAGGGGGAUAACUACUGGAAACGGUAGCUAAUAACGCAUACCAUCGGAUGUGCCCAGAUGGGAUUAGCUAGUAGGUGGGGUAACGGCUCACCUAGGCGACGAUCCCUAGCUGGUCUGAGAGGAUGACCAGCCACACUGGAAGUUAGACACUGUCCGUACUCCUACGUGAGGCAGCAGUGGGGAAUAUUGCACAAUGGGCGCAAGCCUGAUGCAGCCAUGCCGCGUGUAUGAAGAAGGCCUUCGGGUUGUAAAGUACUUUCAGCUGGGAGGCGUUACCCGCAGAAGAAGCACCGGCUAACUCCGUGCCAGCAGCCGCGGUAAUAC